ACGGGAGGCAGCAGUGGGGGAUAUUGCACAAUGGGCGCAAGCCUGAUGCAGCAACGCCGCGUGAAGGAAGAAGGUCUUCGGAUUGUAAACUUCUGUUUUUGGUGAAGAUAAUGACGGUAGCCAAGUAGGAAGCCACGGCUAACUACGUGCCAGCAGCCGCGGUAAUACGUAGGUGGCAAGCGUUGUCCGGAUUUACUGGGUGUAAAGGGAGCGUAGGCGGGAGAUCAAGUCAGAAGUGAAAUCUAUGGGCUUAACCCAUAAAUUGCUUUUGAAACUGGUUUUCUUGAGUGAAGUAGAGGUAGGCGGAAUUCCGAGUGUAGCGGUGAAAUGCGUAGAUAUUCGGAGGAACACCAGUGGCGAAGGCGGCCUACUGGGCUUUUACUGACGCUGAGGCUCGAAAGUGUGGGGAGCAAACAGGAUUAGAUACCCUGGUA
rnacentral:rRNA from 1 species